rnacentral:rRNA from 1 species
AUUGAACGCUGGCGGCAUGCUUUACACAUGCAAGUCGAACGGCAGCGCGGGCUUCGGCCUGGCGGCGAGUGGCGAACGGGUGAGUAAUACAUCGGAACGUGCCCAGUAGUGGGGGAUAGCUCGGCGAAAGCCGGAUUAAUACCGCAUACGACCUGAGGGUGAAAGCGGGGAAUCUUCGGACCUCGCGCUAUUGGAGCGGCCGAUGGCAGAUUAGCUAGUUGGUGGGGUAAAGGCCUACCAAGGCGACGAUCUGUAGCUGGUCUGAGAGGACGACCAGCCACACUGGGACUGAGACACGGCCCAGACUCCUACGGGAGGCAGCAGUGAGGAAUUUUGGACAAUGGGCGAAAGCCUGAUCCAGCAAUGCCGCGUGUGUGAUGAAGGCCUUCGGGUUGUAAAGCACUUUUGGCGGGAACGAAAAGGACUGUGCCAAUACCACGGUUCGAUGACGGUACCCGCAGAAUAAGCACCGGCUAACUACGUG